rnacentral:rRNA from 1 species
GAUGAACGCUGGCGGCGUGCUUAACGCAUGCAAGUCGAACGAAGCAUUUAAGACAGAUUACUUCGGUUUGAAGUCUUUUAUGACUGAGUGGCGGACGGGUGAGUAACGCGUGGGUAACCUGCCUCAUACAGGGGGAUAGCAGCUGGAAACGGCUGGUAAUACCGCAUAAGCGCACAGUACCACAUGGUACAGUGUGAAAAACUCCGGUGGUAUGAGAUGGACCCGCGUCUGAUUAGCUUGUUGGCGGGGUAACGGCCCACCAAGGCGACGAUCAGUAGCCGACCUGAGAGGGUGACCGGCCACAUUGGGACUGAGACACGGCCCAGACUCCUACGGGAGGCAGCAGUGGGGAAUAUUGCACAAUGGAGGAAACUCUGAUGCAGCGACGCCGCGUGAGUGAAGAAGUAGUUCGCUAUGUAAAGCUCUAUCAGCAGGGAAGAUAGUGACGGUACCUGACGAAGAAGCUCCGGCUAAAUACGUG